UCGACUCAAAGAAAAAAAAAAAAAUACGGCUUAAUGGAAAAUUGGGAGGGGGAACCGACGACGGCAAUUCCUUUAUCCAGUUAUAAACCACUGGUCCCACAGUUGCCAGUCCAAUAUCGCACUCUCUCCCUACUCUUUUCAGCGCAUUUUGCUCGCAUUGAUCUUCAUUCCUCGCUCCAACGGACCCGGCCUUCACGCACAGUACAGAUCAUAUCCUCCUGUCACCCACUAGCUCCCCCUACCCCCGCCACUCGGAACGGACGGCCACCUCAACUUCCCUCGGGCGUCCAGAUCUCGGCAAUCUCAACGUUGCUAAAAUUCGAGCCCCUCAACGCUCCGCAUCCGCAGAAAAAUCCAGGUUUCUCGCAGUUUUUCUUUUCAAAACUUCUCAGCAGCCAGCCAGCCAGGUAGGGAGCCCCGGGAAUGGAGAAGUUGGUAGAUUCCAUGAACAAUGCAUACGAGGAGUUUGUUACUGCGGCGAGUAACGUGCUAGAAGCCAAAAAGAUAUCUGGUGGCCAGAAAACAGUUGCCACGAAUGCAGCCCUGGAAAUCGUUGAGCAGAAGUGGGAAUCGUUCAGAGUGGCUUGUGACCAUGCGGAGGGGUUUGUGGAGUCUGCGAAGAAAAUGAUAGAAUACGACAAAGGUGCGAGUGUUUAAACUGUGUGGAAAAGAAAGAUAAAGAGAUAGAGAUGGAAUUGUACGUCAAAUCUGACUGUAUGUAUUUUUAUAAGUUUGGGUUGGAUCUGAGUUA